rnacentral:misc_RNA from 1 species
ACAAAAUAGAGUUUUACACAGAGGAGAACACAUGUUGUUUCUUCUGAUACAAGUUAUCUGUGUAAACACCCUGACCUAAAACAUCAUAAGUUCCGCGUUGGGCUCGUUUCGAUUGUACGAACAUGUCAUCCACUAAAAUGAAGAGGAAACUUGAAGAGAUGAGCGUUGAUGAGUUUCUAGAGAAUGGUAUUGAUUCCAGCGAUGAUGAAGAAAACAUUGUUGAAGAGAAAGCAAUAUCAACCACAAAGAAGAUGAAGAGUGGAAAAAAAUCUGUUGCGCAUCAACACAAGAACUCUUUGGAAAAGUUAAAAAAAUCUGAUCCUGAAUUUUACCAGUUUCUGCAGGAAAAUGAUGAAGAACUUUUGAACUUUGACCCAAACGAGAUGAGCUCUGAUGAAGACGAUCCUAUUCAUAAACCACCAUCUAGUUUACAAGAAGCAAGUGAGGAUAGUGAUGAAGAAGUGGAGUUGGAAAAAGAAAGCAAGUCUUCUAAGAUAAAUCGCAACCGAGGCAAACCAGUCACUCUCAGUAUGAUAAGCAGAUGGACACAGGCAUUGAAGGAAACUUACUCUCUUAAAGCAUUCCAUGAAGUUACUCGUGCCUUCAAAGCGGCUGUAAGGGAAACCAGCUCAGAAAAGGAGAAGAGAGGAUUUGCAAGAUAUAGAGUUGAAGGUAGUGAAGUUUUCAACGCUCUCAUCAAUAUGUGUGUCCGCCAUGUUGCCAACACUCUACAACAUGCCCUGAACCUACAAGAAAAUAAGGAGAAAAAACUGCUUCGUCCGGCAACAUCAAAGAAAUGGAAGAGAGUGGAAGGGGAUGUUAAAACAUAUUUGACAGAUAUGAUUAAGCUUGUCGGCCAGGUGACAGAGCCCUCUAUAAUCAGUGUUGUCCUCCGUCACAUCAAUUCAAUGAUUCCUUAUGCCUCCUGCUUUUCCAAAGUAGCAACGACACUUAUAAAGAAACUUGUUCAGAUUUGGAGCACUGGGGAGGAAUCUGUCCGAAUUCUUGCAUUUCUGUCACUGUACAAGAUCACACGCUACAUGCCGAAAACCAGACUGGAGUUUAUCUUAAAGCAAAUGUACCUUGCGUUUGUACGAAAUUCAAAAUUCACAUCCGUCACUACUCUACCACUGAUCAACUUCAUGCAGCGCUCUAUAACCGAGAUGUUUGGUAUCAAUGUAGCCGUGACCUAUCAGCAUGGAUUUGUGUACAUACGUCAACUUGCUAUCCACUUGCGCAAUGCUAUCACCGUGAAAGAAAAGGAUACCUACCAGUCUGUGUACAAUUGGCAGUAUAUUCAUUGCCUGACCUUGUGGUGUCGUGUUCUUGGUACGAUCCAGCCAUGCGAUGCCCUACAACCUCUCAUUUAUCCUUUGGUCCAGACAGCUGUUGGGGUCAUCAAAUUGAUACCAUCUGAACGAUAUUAUCCUCUGAGAUUUCAUGUUGUAAGAGCUUUGAACCUUUUAUCGGACUCAACAGGUACAUUUGUGCCCCUUUUGCCUUUCAUAUCAGAGGUUCUUGAACAAACAAAAUUUAACAAUAAGAACUCCAGUGUCAGUAUAAAGCCGAUAAAUUUUGCUGUGAUAUUAAAGCUGUCAAAGCCCCAACUAAAUGAGAGAGCUUUCAGGGAUGGUGUAAUUGAACAGGUGUGCGACUUACUCCUGGAUCACAUGCAAAUUCACAGUCAUUGUAUUGGUUUUCCAGAACUUGCGUUGCCAGCAGUCAUCCAGUUGAAGCGAUUUUUAAAAACCUGCAAAGUGACCAAUCAUAGCAAACCCAUCAAAAUAAUUCUUGAGAAAAUUCAGGAGAAUAUUGCCAUGGUAACAAAGAAACGUGACACGGUGACAUUUAGCAUAGCAGAUAGUCAAGCUGUUUCUAAGUGGGAGAAGAAUUUGAAAGACCAGUUAACACCCUUAAUGAAACACUACACAAUGUACAAGAGGCAGAGGCAGCAAGAACUCCUGGCAGAGGAAGCUGGCAAAGACAGGCUAAUUGAUGAUGAAAUACCAACAAUUGAAAGGAAAGAGAAGCAGAAAAAGGAAGACAGAGUGGAGUUUAGUGACCUUUUCAACUCUGGAAGUGAUUCUGAAGAUGAUAUAUUAGAGAGAGCAGAAAGGAAACUUCAAAGGAAGAUGCAGAAUUUGUCAGAGUCUGAUGAGUCUGAAGAUGACCUGAGUGAUCUUGAUGACAUCGGAACCUCUGAUCUUGAAGACUUAUCAGAAGAUGAGGAAAGUGGUGAGGAAAAUGACGAGGAAGAGGAAAAACCUGCUGGAAGAAGGAAAAAAGAAAGAACAGCUCAAACAAAUUUUAAGAUAAAUGGAAUGAAAAGUAAAGAGAAAUAUCAACCAAGUAAUUCUGGCAAUGAUGCUGAAGAUAUUGUAGAGGACUUCCAUUUCUCAUCUGAUUCUGAAGAUGACUAAGGAUUAGUCCUACUAUUAAUCAUUAUAGGAUACAUUACUUCAUAGAGCAAAACAUUCUUAAGUUACAUUUGAUUUUACUCAACCAAUUCAUAUCUAUUUGUGGAAUUUUUUUAAUAAGAAUGGCCAUCGGAGAUGAAUACAAGAGUCAUAUAGCCACAUACUCAUUGCAAAAAUGUCAUCAAAAAAUUAGCAUUUUAAUACCAAACAUGAAAUAUGGAUUAUUAAUAGGGAGGUUUCGAUUGGGAACACAUACAGUUAAGCCGGGCACUGACUGCGUCGCACAAUGGUAGCAGUCGGAAUGGAUCGUCAUUAAAAACGAUCCGUUGGGCACAUCUUCGCGUUGCAUUCUUCACAGAAUCGCGUCAGCCGACAACCGUCAUGCGCAGUGAGUGCCCGACUUUAGUAUGACAUGUACGUCAUCAUUUAUGACUUCAUACGCCGGAAAAGUUUGUAUUUCUAAUAGAAUCUUCGUUUUUUUUCACAUUUUACAGCAAGUUUUAAAAAAUAAAUGUAUCUUUAAUACGUACAUGCUAUUUUUGUGACUUUUUUUGAGGUAGUAAAAAACGUUGGUGGUUGGUGGUGUCAGGAUUUUCCUGUAGGCCUAGUUAGGGUCCUCCCCAGCUCGGUCUAUAGUAGCCAGGCUUUUUUGGGCCACAAAAUGACCAACUCUUCUGGGCAACAAGGGAAGGAGUAUUAUUUGGCUACCACUUCCAAUUUCCAAAACCUUGCAUACUAAAAUUUAGGCAAUGCCAAAAUUUGAUUUUGAGAAGCAUGAUGAUAGAAGAAAGUGGAAUAAGCCUAGCCUAGGCUAGGCCUAAGGCCCUACGCUUAAAUUUCACUGUCAUUGGGAAAAGCACAGCAUGGCUACAAACCGUUAUGUAUAGCUAAACCUAUGCGUACAUGUAUUCAUUUGUGUGUGAAACCUCUCUAAUAUUGAUAGAUGGCAUUACAAGUUUUAUAUUGGUCUUUAAAUCAUGUUCCUAGGUAUGAGUUCAAUCAAGGUAAUAUUUGGAAAUUCUGACGGCUGAAAACUUAUUUUGGAGAUACCUCACCUGAAAAUGCACUUAACUAUAAUACAAUUUAUAUUUUUUGGUAAAAUAUAUGAAUUACUAGUUGUAAUGUGUUUUAGAUGUUUAAAAAAAAAUCCCUCUAUGUUCAUUAAAGUAUUCUAUAUACAAAUAAAACAACCAAAGCUCUUAAUUA